GACGAACGCUGGCGGCGUGCUUAACACAUGCAAGUCGAACGGAAAGGCCCUUCGGGGUACUCGAGUGGCGAACGGGUGAGUAACACGUGGGUGAUCUGCCCUGCACUUUGGGAUAAGCCUGGGAAACUGGGUCUAAUACCGAAUAGGACCACGCGCUUCAUGGUGUGUGGUGGAAAGCUUUUGCGGUGUGGGAUGGGCCCGCGGCCUAUCAGCUUGUUGGUGGGGUAAUGGCCUACCAAGGCGACGACGGGUAGCCGGCCUGAGAGGGAGACCGGCCACACUGGGACUGAGAUACGGCCCAGACUCCUACGGGAGGCAGCAGUGGGGAAUAUUGCACAAUGGGCGCAAGCCUGAUGCAGCGACGCCGCGUGAGGGAUGACGGCCUUCGGGUUGUAAACCUCUUUCACCAGGGACGAAGCGUAAGUGACGGUACCUGGAGAAGAAGCACCGGCCAACUACGUG
rnacentral:rRNA from 1 species